CCUACGGGAGGCAGCAGUGGGGAAUAUUGCACAAUGGGGGAAACCCUGAUGCAGCCAUGCCGCGUGUGUGAAGAAGGCCUUCGGGUUGUAAAGCACUUUCAGUUGUGAGGAAAAGUUAGUAGUUAAUACCUGCUAGCCGUGACGUUAACAACAGAAGAAGCACCGGCUAACUCCGUGCCAGCAGCCGCGGUAAUACGGAGGGUGCGAGCGUUAAUCGGAAUUACUGGGCGUAAAGCGCACGCAGGCGGUUUGUUAAGCUAGAUGUGAAAGCCCCGGGCUCAACCUGGGAUGGUCAUUUAGAACUGGCAGACUAGAGUCUUGGAGAGGGGAGUGGAAUUCCAGGUGUAGCGGUGAAGUGCGUAGAUAUCUGGAGGAACAUCAGUGGCGAAGGCGACUCCCUGGCCAAAGACUGACGCUCAUGUGCGAAAGUGUGGGUAGCGAACAGGAUUAGAUACCCUGGUAGUCCACACCGUAAACGCUGUCUACUAGCUGUGUGUGAUUUUAAAUCGUGCGUAGCGAAGCUAACGCGCUAAGUAGACCGCCUGGGGAGUACGGCCGCAAGGUUAAAACUCAAAGGAAUUGACGGA
rnacentral:rRNA from 1 species